UUUCCGUAGGUGAACCUGCGGAAGGAUCAUUGCUAAAAACUUUAAAUCCUUUUCGGAGGAUUUAUCGAUCCCCCAAAACACCCUUUUGUGCACUGUUGGACCGAUGACACGUCAUCACUUUCGGGCCCAGGUUUUUGGGCCCAAUGGUGACCCGUCCCACAUUCAACUCCCAAAGAAAUCAAUCGCUGAAGUUAUCUGGUCUCCCACGAUCAGAGUUAUUUGUUAUUUAAAAACAAAAUACAACUUUCAACAAUGGAUCUCUUGGCUCUC
rnacentral:misc_RNA from 1 species